AGUGAACGCUGGCGGUAGGCCUAAUACAUGCAAGUCGAACGGCAGCACAGUAAGAGCUUGCUCUUACGGGUGGCGAGUGGCGGACGGGUGAGGAAUACAUCGGAAUCUACUUUUUCGUGGGGGAUAACGUAGGGCAACUUAUGCUAAUACCGCACACGACCUACGGGUGGAAGCAAGAGAUCUUCGGACCUUGCCCGACUGAAUUAGCCGAUGCCGGAUUAGCUAGUUGGCGGGGUAAAGGCACACCAAGGCGACGAUGCGUAGCUGGCCUGAGAGGAUGAUCAGCCACACUGGAACUGAGACACGGUCCAGACUCCUACGGGAGGCAGCAGUAGGGAAUCUUGGACAAUGGGCGCAAGCCUGACCCAGCCAUACCGCGUGAGUGAAGAAGGCCUUCGGGUUGUAAAGCCCUUUUGUUGGGAAAGAAAAGCAGCAGGUUAAUACCCCGCUGUUCUGACGGUACCCAAAGAGUAAGCACCGGCUAACUUCGUG
rnacentral:rRNA from 1 species